rnacentral:rRNA from 1 species
GCGAAAACUUUACAAUGCUGGCAACACCGAUACGGGAACCUCGAGUGCCAGAUUACAAAUCUGGCUGUCGAGAUCCCUAAAAAGCAUUUCAUAGCAAGGGCCGGGCAAGACCGGUGCCAGCCGCCGCGGUAACACCGGCGGCUCGAGUGGUAACCGUUAUUAUUGGGUCUAAAGGGUCUGUAGCCGGCCGGAUAAGUCUCUUGAGAAAUCUGGCAGCUUAACUGUCAGGCUUUCAGGAGAUACUGUCUGGCUCGAGGCCGGGAGAGGUGAGAGGUACUUCAGGGGUAGGGGUGAAAUCUUGUAACCCUUGAAGGACCACCAGUGGCGAAGGCGUCUCACCAGAACGGACCUGACGGCAAGGGACGAAAGCUAGGGGAACGAACC